rnacentral:lncRNA from 1 species
AAACUUCUUCCUCUAUUCAUCAUCAUUCCUAAAUACGGACACAAGGUUGGAGGUGCAACUUGACACAUUGUUUUAUCUCUUGGUUUUAUGCCUUGCCAUUUUCCCAUCCUGGAAUUAAAAUAAAAAUCUCACUUUUUGCCACCUAAUUCACAUACUUGUCUCUUCUCUAGAAGUUCAGUGUCAACAAACUGCUUUCUAGCACUCAUUCACAUAUCUCUUCUUCUUUCUUUUUAAGCUUUAUCCUAACUUUAACCAAGAAUGGCUAUAAAGAAAGGUGUGGAUGUGCCUUUACAAAAUGGAAGAAUGAAGGAGCACCAGUCCUCUAGCUUAGAGCAGGAUGGGAUCACCACCCUUGGAUCAAACAGGCCUAGAAAAACUGGGAGGCCUAGUGAUGCCUCAGCAUUCAUGAUGAGACAAUGACACACCCCAUGGGUCACAGGGUAAGUUUACACUCUUCCCAUUUAUGAUUCUUAAUUCUGACAGUCAGAAGGUGCCCUUGCCUCUAGACCUCUCCCACAACUAGAUCAUCUGCUCUGUUCUAUGCUGACCAUCCCUCUCUAAAUAUCCUCUGUCUGAUCCUAACUAUGCCUCUGCUUAAUCCAUAC